rnacentral:rRNA from 1 species
AACGUAGGAGACAAACGUUAUCCGGAGUUACUGGGCGUAAAGCGUGCGCAGGCGGUUAUGUAAGACAGUUGUGAAAUCCCCGGGCUCAACCUGGGAACUGCAUCUGUGACUGCAUAGCUAGAGUACGGUAGAGGGGGAUGGAAUUCCGCGUGUAGCAGUGAAAUGCGUAGAUAUGCGGAGGAACACCGAUGGCGAAGGCAAUCCCCUGGACCUGUACUGACGCUCAUGCACGAAAGCGUGGGGAGCAAACAGG